rnacentral:lncRNA from 1 species
AAAGAAGAGAGAGUGGCCAGAAGCAGAGAAGGUGGGGAGAGCAGAGACUGUGGAGAGAGAGGGUCCUUUCUCAGAGAUGCCCAUCUCCCAGCGAUGGUGACAUCGUGGCAAAGAGGAGCAUGACACAAUCCACAAAGACCAGGGCAGGUUCCCUGACAGGGAAAACACCCAGGAACAGGGAGCUGGGUGUCAGGGGCCGUCACCACCCAGCGCCCUUCGUUUAGUUCCCAACUCCUCUGCCCAAUUCCUUAACCUCAAGGUCAAAGAUACACACACACACACCUGUCUAGAUCGCCCACCUUUUCCUUCAGCAUUCCAGAGCCCAGACAAAGGUUAUCGACCAACCAGGAAAAUAAAAAGAGGGCAUCUCUCCCGGAACAGUUCGGAUUAGAGAAGAGAGUCGUAAUCUGGGGAGAUGGAGCCUUUGAAGCGCGGGAGGGGAGCGGGUCCCCUGACCCGCAGGCACGAGUGAGACACCGCGUUGGAGACAGGCCGGACUGAUGGAAUCUGCGACUGCAGAACCAGCAGAUCCACAGGACCCACUGUAGUAUUCUCCCCAAGCAACAGAGGAGGGAGCAAGGAACCACCACUUCCUCUCUUCUACCCCACCAGUCUCCCUGGUCCAUACCCACAUAGUUUCAUAGACUCAUGGUUCUCAAACUUUGGCAUGCAUCAAAAUCACCUGGAGAGCUUGUUAAAAACAUGGCAAGAAAAAAAAAAAACCACUCCCAGAGGGACUUCUCUGGUGGUCCAGUGGUUGAGAGUCUACUUGCCAAUUCAGGGUUAUAGGUUUGAUUUCUGUUCUGGAAAGAUCCCACAUGCCUGAGAGCAACUAAGCCCAUGAGCCUCAACUACUGAGCUCCUGCCCUAGAGCCCCAGAGCUGCAACCACUGAGCCUGUGUGCUCUAGAAGCCGUGCUCAGCAGCAAGAGAAGCCACUUCAAGAAGAAGCCUGUGCACCGCAUCUAGACAGUAGCCCCGGCUUGCCACAACCAGAGAAAGCCCCCAUAGAGCAAUGAUACAGGGCAGCUGAAAAUAAUAAAUAAACAGUUUUUUAAAAAUUGCCAGAGAGUCUGAUG